rnacentral:rRNA from 1 species
AACGCUGGCGGCGUGCCUAAUACAUGCAAGUCGAGCGGACGAAUCGAAAGCUUGCUUUUGAUUCGUUAGCGGCGGACGGGUGAGUAACACGUGGGCAACCUGCCCUGUAGACGGGGAUAACACCGAGAAAUCGGUGCUAAUACCGGAUAACACGAAAUGUCGCAUGACGUUUCGUUGAAAGACGGCGCAAGCUGUCGCUACAGGAUGGGCCCGCGGCGCAUUAGCUAGUUGGUGAGGUAACGGCUCACCAAGGCGACGAUGCGUAGCCGACCUGAGAGGGUGAUCGGCCACACUGGGACUGAGACACGGCCCAGACUCCUACGGGAGGCAGCAGUAGGGAAUCUUCCGCAAUGGACGAAAGUCUGACGGAGCAACGCCGCGUGAGCGAAGAAGGCCUUCGGGUCGUAAAGCUCUGUUGUUAGGGAAGAACAAGUAACGCAGUAACUGGCGUUACCGUGACGGUACCUAACGAGAAAGCCACGGCUAACUACGUG